rfam:Myotis davidii contig218333, whole genome shotgun sequence.
CACGGGGGGAGGGGAGUCCCUCAGCCCAGAUUGCUAGAGGGUGCAGGCCAGGCCAAAGGACCCCACCAGUGCAUG